AGUACAUGCAAAUAAUCUACAAGGCACUGUUGGAAGUUUAUGAAAAUGGAACAAUUAUUGGUAGAUCAAGAGAGGCAAUACCGAGUCGAGUACGCUAGAAAAGCGAUGAUACGCCUUGCUCAAGCUUACCUUUUGGAGGCGAAAUGGACACAUCUAAACUAUAAACCAACGUUCGAGGAGUUAGAGAUAAUGCAUUGCCGACCUCCGGCUAUGCCAUGCUUGCCAUCACGGCGUUCGUCGGGAUGGGCGAUGUUAUAACCCCCGGACCUUCAAAUGGGCAGCCAAUGACCCUAAGAUCAUCAAAGCCUCCACCAUUAUUUGCAGGUUCAUGGACGACAUUGCUGAACACAGUCAACCACAGGAGAGAAGACGAUUGCUCGGCCAUCGAGUGUUACAUGGAACAGUACGGCGUGACGGCGCAAGAAGCAUACGAUGAAUU